UAAAAUCUAGCAGCUGGAAAAAAUAAAUGAGAGGCUCAGAACUUGCACACAAUAUUAUAUAUUCCAUUUACCAAUUCUAUUUUAUUUUCAGUUUUAUGUCUAUACUAUAAUUUCGGAAUAAACGUGUAUAAAAUGUAAAUACAAAUUAAUAAAGUUUUUUCCUCGUUUGUUUUCAAACUGUACACAAACACGUUGGCGCCACCUGCUGGAUGGAGGCUGAACCGGCAGAACGGAACAUUGUGGAGAAGCGGGGAGGACCGGGGCGCUGCCUGGCUGUGACACCGCGGUGGUGCUGCUAAUCAAGCUAACGUCAGUUAACGCCAGCUGCACACUCCCGUAACAAAAAAGAUGGCAUCUGUUUCUAUCCCCACAUCCACCAGUGCCCUUUUGCUGGACAUCGAAGGAACCACCACACCAAUAACGUUUGUUAAGGAUAUCUUGUUUCCGUACAUCAGGGAGCAUCUUGAGGAUUCAUUCACUGGGAGGAAGAUGAGUGCAAACAAGAUGUUCAUCUCCUGAAGAAACAGAUUGAGGAGGACAUGAGGCAGAACCGUGUCUCUGAGGAAAAAGAGAAAAACUGCUAUUCUCACCGACACACCUGUGAAGGAGGCACUUGAAGCGGAAAAGCAGGAUGAUUCGGUGGAGAGGAGGAGUAAAGGCCGCUAUUUGUUCGUUAGUGGCGUACCUCAAAGAAAAGGAGGAAGCUCUCUUCAAAGAGCACUCGGAUGAAUGGGACAUUGCCAGUGAAGUGAUGAAGAUCAUCAUCAUCAGAGGGACUACAGCAUUUGACCCAGCCUGAGCAAGAAUCGUGAUAGAGGGAACUAAAGUCUUACAAGAACUUAAUCUUCCCAGAGCCUGCGCCUUGCUAAUAGGACUUAUGCCUUAAACCUCAGCUACCCAAAGGUGCUGAAACAUACCUUUGAAGUGUUUUAGAGGGUAUUGCUUGGGCUGGAUGGUCUGAAACCUAGUUUUUUUUUUUCUUGUCUUUUUUUGUGCACAUGGGGUAAACCUGACAAUUUGAAUUCAUUUCACUGUGGCUUUAGAAUAAAGUGAGCAAAAGAAUAGACUUGCUUGUUUUUUGUUAUUUAUUUAAGUUAAACAAGUUCAUAGUACUAGAGAAAAUUGAGGUAACAAUUUGCAUGGACCUUUCUGACUAGAACUGAAUCAAACAACACAGUGACAGUAACUUAAAUAAGUCAUUUGACAACUUAAAAUCACCUAAAUUUUAGAAGGAAAUUUAAUUUGAAUCAGCACAAUUAGGCUUUUUGACACCAAUCCAAAUCAUGUUGACCAUACUAAUUAAAUUGAGUUAUGGAAGUCUCUGGAUAUAUACUUAAUAGUUAUUAAGCUGCAGGUACUUAAUAAGAUGCAUGCAAAUUAUUACCUCAGAUUUUUUAAGUUAAGCCAGUGUAUUUUUUUUUAGAGUGCAGCUGACUCCAGAUAAAGCCAUAAAUAGCAUUGCUGCCUCCUAUAUAAUCCCAUUCCAUCAAUCCCAUCAGAGCUCUGUGCUCAAGAAUUGCUGAAUUCCUGUCCAGAAUGGGAAGAGGAACAUUUAGUUUUCAGGCUCCUCUCUUGUGGAACCAGCUAACAACCUGAACUAUGACGCUUAGAACGGUCCUCUCUGGAGUUUUUAUUAUUUUGUGAACUAUUUCUGCCCUGUUUUAGUAAUCUAAUCUGGUUUUAACUAUAUUUUUGUCUUUUUAUUACAGAUUUUAAAUAUUCUGCAAUGAUCCCCGCUUGGUUUUGUGAUCAGUUUUAUAUAUUUUUUUUAUUCUGUAUUUGCUGUAUUUAAUUGAUCUAGUUUUUGUUUGCUCUGUUAAGCAUUUUGAUUUGCAAUGUGUUUGAAAAAGUGCUAUAUAAAUGAAAAAUAAUUGAUUGAACUGCCCACUUUACCAUUUGGAAGAGCAACAUUUUUAAUGAUUAUACUGAAACUUAUUAAAAAUUUGUGGAAAAGAACCAUCUCUGGGACUUGGUUUGGGUAUGUAAUGCCACAAAGUUUU